UUUUUGUUCUCUUCUUUUUUCUCUCUUCUUUCUUCUCCCUUCUUUCUUUUUCCUUUCCCCGUGAUACUUUUUUUCUUCCUCCCCUUUUCUCCUUCGUUUCCCUCCUUGCCCUUUUUUCUUUAUUCCAUUUUUCGUUUUACUUCCCCCAUUUUAAUUUUCUUUUUUUCUUGUUCUUAUUUACUUUUUUUGUAUCCCUUUACACCCCUCUGUACUCUUUUCUUUCCCCCUUUUUUCUUCCCAUUUUUCACCUUUUUUAUUUUGUUUUCCCCUCUUUCUUCUUGUUUCCUCCUUCCCCCACCCUUUUUAUUUUUUUCUCCUUUCCCCUCCCCUCAUAUUUUUGUAGGGUUGGUGUGGGGUUUUUUCCUCUCCUGCUUUGUUUUUUCUUUUCAUUUUUUUUCCUUGCAUUUCCGACAGCCAACCAAGCAAGAACCAGCUGGUACAGAUUUAACCCUCUGCAAUCCCAUCUCCCACUAUGGAAAACUGACCACAGCCAAGCCGUUGGACAACCUGCCAAUUCCUAUUCCUACUUCCCGGGGAACGGGCGCAGCAGAAAGGGCUUGCGCCUUUGAGUUCUUCAAAUUAAUAACCCUGGGAAGGGCAGAGAGCCGGCAGAUGAAAGCCAAGGUACGGACUUUGAUCGUGCAAUCGGAGCCAUGCGGGCAGGCUCCCGAACCAUGUGGAGCACCCCUGAAGGUCAGCCUGGGCUGAUCAGAUUGCAGCAAGAGAGCCAUGGAAAGCAGGGCAAACGGAGGUGGAAAAAUCUAUACACCCAAAUAUCUGCCAAGAGAUGAAAGAAAAGUUUGCCUCUGAUGCUGGGAUUUAUGAAUAAGAUCAGCUGGCUGCACAACACCAUGCAUCCCUAUGAAUGAAUACCUUUCCUGAGGAAGAAAGAGCACAUGGAAAAGUGAUUGCUCUGCUACUCCUAAACUCUGGAAUUCUCUUGAUCUGCUGUUAGAAGCCAGAGAAGAUCACACAGAGUACUGCAUACAUACGUACAUGUGCUUUAUCCAGUGAUCUCUUUUGAAGCAAACCUGAAAAAGGCUGUAGAUGAUGUGCACAUUUCAGCUAUUAAAGGUCAUGGAUAAGACA